rnacentral:rRNA from 1 species
UGGGGAAUAUUGGACAAUGGAGGAAACUCUGAUCCAGCAAUUCUGUGUGUGUGAAGAAGGUUUUAGGACUGUAAAACACUUUUAGUAGGGAAGAAAAAAAUGACGGUACCUACAGAAGAAGCAACGGCUAAAUACGUGCCAGCAGCCGCGGUAAUACGUAUGUUGCGAGCGUUAUCCGGAAUUAUUGGGCUUAAAGGGCAUCUAGGCGGUAAGACAAGUUGAAGGUGAAAACCUGUGGCUCAACCAUAGGCUUGCCUACAAAACUGUUGAACUAGAGUACUGGAAAGGUGGGUGGAACUACACGAGUAGAGGUGAAAUUCGUAGAUAUGUGUAGGAAUGCCGAUGAUGAAGAUAACUCACUGGACAGAAACUGACGCUGAAGUGCGAAAGCUAGGGGGGCAAACAGG